AGCGGAGGAAAAGAAACUAACAAGGAUUCCCCUAGUAACGGCGAGUGAAGCGGGAUGAGCUCAAAUUUAAAAUCUGGCUGGUUUACUAGUCCGAAUUGUAGUUUAAAGAAGCGUUUUCGGUGGCAGCCUGGGUAUAAAUCCUUUGGAACAGGGUAUCAUAGAGGGUGAGAAUCCCGUCUUUGACUCAGUGCAUGCUACUAUGUGAUACGUUUUCAAAGAGUCGAGUUGUUUGGGAAUGCAGCUCAAAAUGGGUGGUAAAUUUCAUCUAAAGCUAAAUAUUGGCGAGAGACCGAUAGCGAACAAGUACCGUGAGGGAAAGAUGAAAAGAACUUUGAAAAGAGAGUUAAACAGUGCGUGAAAUUGUUGAAAGGGAAACGCUUGACACCAGUCAUGCGAGCGGAAAAUCAGUCUUUUGCGGUGGGGAGAUGUGUGGGUUCGGACCGCAAGGCCGGCCUGCGCUUCAUCUCUGCCGUAAGUGAUGCACUUUUUCGUUUGCAGGCCAACAUCAGUUUCUUCUGCUGGACAAAACUCUUGAGAAGGUAGCAGCUUAGGCUGUGUUAUAGCUCUUGAGCGAUACAGUGGAGGAGACUGAGGUUUUCGCAGCGCGUGCUCUCGGGCAAGGCUGAUUGGGUGCUAUGGGAUCGUUCGGUGUACAAUGCAUGCAUUUUGCGCCGUGUCUUUUCUAUACUCGCUCAACUCGGCU
rnacentral:rRNA from 1 species